rnacentral:rRNA from 1 species
AAUAGAUACCCCGGUAGUCCACGCCGUAAACGAUGAGUGCUAAGUGUUAGAGGGUUUCCGCCCUUUAGUGCUGAAGUUAACGCAUUAAGCACUCCGCCUGGGGAGUACGGCCGCAAGGCUGAAACCCAAAGGAAUUGACGGGGGCCCGCACGAAGCGGUGGAGCAUGUGGUUUAAUUCGAAGCAACGCGAAGAACCUUACCAGGUCUUGACAUCCUCUGACAACCCUAGAGAUAGGGCUUCUCCUUCGGGAGCAGAGUGACAGGUGGUGCAUGGUUGUCGUCAGCUCGUGUCGUGAGAUGUUGGGUUAAGUCCCGCAACGAGCGCAACCCUUGAUCUUAGUUGCCAUCAUUAAGUUGGGCACUCUAAGGUGACUGCCGGUGACAAACCGGAGGAAGGUGGGGAUGACGUCAAAUCAUCAUGCCCCUUAUGACCUGGGCUACACACGUGCUACAAUGGACGGUACAAAGAGCUGCAAGACCGCGAGGUGGAGCUAAUCUCAUAAAACCGUUCUCAGUUCGGAUUGUAGGCUGC